AUUGAACGCUGGCGGCAGGCCUAACACUUGCAAGUCGAGCGGCAGCGGGAAAGUAGCUUGCUACUUUUGCCGGCGAGCGGCGGACGGGUGAGUAAUGCCUGGGGAUCUGCCCAGUCGAGGGGGAUAACUACUGGAAACGGUAGCUAAUACCGCAUACGCCCUACGGGGGAAAGCAGGGGACCUUCGGGCCUUGCGCGAUUGGAUGAACCCAGGUGGGAUUAGCUAGUUGGUGAGGUAACGGCUCACCAAGGCGACGAUCCCUAGCUGGUCUGAGAGGAUGAUCAGCCACACUGGAACUGAGACACGGUCCAGACUCCUACGGGAGGCAGCAGUGGGGAAUAUUGCACAAUGGGGGAAACCCUGAUGCAGCCAUGCCGCGUGUGUGAAGAAGGCCUUCGGGUUGUAAAGCACUUUCAGCGAGGAGGAAAGGUCAGUAGCUAAUAUCUGCUGGCUGUGACGUUACUCGCAGAAGAAGCACCGGCUAACUCCGUGCCAGCCGCCGCAGUAACAC
rnacentral:rRNA from 1 species